AUGGCAUAUAUCGUGCCUAAAGUUGGCAUCCUGAGCAGCAAAAUUCCGUCAGCUUUUUUACUUUUUGUGGAGCUGAUUGCUCAGCUCUCUUGGAAGAUUUUCGCAGUGGAGUUGGUUCAGUUUAGAUGGCAUGAUGUCAAAGAUCAGCAAAGAAUCAUGAAACAACCAGUUAGUGGUUAUCAAGACCGAGUGCGGACGUCCACUUCUUAUCCAGCUUUAGAUUAGCUUAGUUCCAAGAUCAACAGUCGUAAUUUGGAUCGGGUUCGUAUGCUGAAGAGUGCAAUGACCAGGUUGACAAAUCGGGUUCAAAAAGUAUGGGAUAAACUCGAACAGCUUCUUGACGAUGACGAUAACAUGGCCGAUCUUUACAUAUCAAGAAAGUUGGUUGGCACUUCACCUGUGAGUGACUCUGGUGCUCCAAAUUGGUCUUUCGCAUCUCCUUCUAUAACCAUCGGCUCUAAAGUAUCCAGAACCAGCAGGGCAAGUGUAACAACAAUUCAGGAGGAGAAUGACGUGGAGGAGCUUGAGAUGUUGCCCGAGGCUUACUUUAUGCAAAUCGAAGGAACAUUGAAUAAAUUGACCACGCUGCGCGAAUACAUUGAUGACACAGAGGAUUACAUUAACAUCCAGCUUGACAAUCAUCGGAAUCAGCUAAUUCUGCUAGAGCUGUUUCUGAGUUCUGGAACUGUUUGUGUGUCUAUAUACUCUUUGGUGGCUGCAAUAUAUUUGGCAUGUACAUUCCAUAUACAUGGAAUGAAAAUCAUGAGCACAUGUUCAAAUGGGUGGUAAUUACAACAGGUAUAGUGGGCGCAUCGAUUUUCUUGUUUAUAGUUUCAUAUGCUCGGCACAAAGGUCUUGUGGGAUCCUGAUACCCAUACCGUAUAAUCAGUUGGGAAGGCAAUACAUAGUGAAGCUUGCAGAGUCGCAGUAAUCAUCAUCAUCCUGUAAUAUUUUGUAUCCAGAUAUAGGCAAGAACAUGAUUAUAUUGGUUCAUUGGUUUACUUGCACUGAACACUUGAACAGACUAGAUAUGUAGUUUCAUUAGUGGCAUGGCACUGGGUUUCUCUAUGAACCAAAAUCAUGUUGUUGCUGGAGUUAGCUUUCCAAUGUUGUAUGUGAUGAGUCAUUAAAUACAAAAUAUGUCUGCUGGUGGCCUAUACC